GGCGGACGGGUGAGUAACACGUGGGCAACCUGCCCUACAGUUUGGGAUAACUCCGGGAAACCGGGGCUAAUACCGAAUAAUCCUUUGAAUCACAUGGUUCGAAGUUGAAAGGCGCUUCGGCGUCGCUGUAGGAUGGGCCCGCGGUGCAUUAGCUAGUUGGUGGGGUAACGGCCUACCAAGGCAACGAUGCAUAGCCGACCUGAGAGGGUGAUCGGCCACAUUGGGACUGAGACACGGCCCAA
rnacentral:rRNA from 1 species